rnacentral:miRNA from 1 species
GUUCCGCUUGUGAAAAUCGAUUUUUCCAAGCGGGCCACUUAAGCAUUCCGCCUGUAAAAGUAAAGGUAUUUUCGCAGCCAGAUCGCUUAAGUGGUCCGCCUGGAUAAAUCGAUUUUCGUAGGCGGAUGA